rnacentral:rRNA from 1 species
GACGAACGCUGGCGGCGUGGAUUAGGCAUGCAAGUCGAACGGUAGGAUACCUUCGGGUAUCUGAGAGUGGCGAACGGGUGAGUAACACGUAGGUGAUCUACCCUCAAGAUUGGGACAACCCAGGGAAACUUGGGCUAAUACCGGAUGAAAGCAGCAGUGAUGUUGUUUGAAAGGUGGCGUAAGCUGCCGUUUGGGGAUGAGCCUGCGCUCUAUUAGUUAGUUGGCGGGGUAAAGGCCCACAAGGCGAUGAUAGAUAGGCGGCCUUAACGGGUGGUCGCCCACACUGGGAUUGAGAUACGGCCCAGACUCCUACGGGAGGCAGCAGUCGAGAAUAGUCUACAAUGGCCGAAAGGCUGAUAGUGCGACGCCGCGUGAACGAAGAAGCCCUUCGGGGUGUAAAGUUCUUUUAUAUGUGAGCAGUGCUUUCUAUGUGAACAGCAUGGGGAGAGAGAUAUUAGCAUAUGAAUAAGCAACGGCUAACUCCGUGCCAGCA